CCUACGGGAGGCAGCAGUAGGGAAUUUUCGGCAAUGGGGGGAACCCUGACCGAGCAACGCCGCGUGAACGAAGAAGUUAUUCGGAAUGUAAAGUUCUUUUAACAGGGAAGAAAGAGCAAUUUGACGGUACCUGAAGAAUAAGCUCCGGCUCACUACGUGCCAGCAGCCGCGGUAAUACGUAGGGAGCGAGCGUUAUACGGAUUUAGUGGGCGUCAAGGGUGCGUAGAUGGCAUAGUAAGUCUUUUGUAAAAAUGCUGGGCUCAAACCAGUAGGGCAAAAGAUACGGCAAAGCUAGAGUAUGACAGAGGCAAGUGGAACUACAUGUGUAGCGGUAAAAGGCGUAAAUAUAUGUAAGAACACCAGUGGCGAAGGCGGCUUGAUGGGUCGAUACUGACAUUGAGGCACGAAAGCGUGGGGAGCAAACAGGAUUAGAGACCCCGGUAGUC
rnacentral:rRNA from 1 species